GAUGAACGCUGGCGGCGUGCCUAAUACAUGCAAGUCGAGCGAACGGACGCGAAGCUUGCUUCUCUGAUGUUAGCGGCGGACGGGUGAGUAACACGUGUAUAACCUACCUAUCAGACUGGGAUAACUUCGGGAAACCGGAGCUAAUACCGGAUAAUAUUUUGAACCGCAUGGUUCAAAAGUGAAAGACGGUCUUGCUGUCACUUAUAGAUGGAUCCGCGCUGCAUUAGCUAGUUGGUAAGGUACAGGCUUACCAAGGCAACGAUGCAUAGCCGACAUGAGAGGGUGAGCGGCCACACUGGAACUGAGACACGGUCCAGAGUCCUAGGGGAGGCGGCAGUAGGGAAUCGUGCGCAAUGGGCGAAAGCCUGACGGAGCAGCGCCGCGUGAGUGAUGAGGGUCGUCGGAUCGGAAAACUCUGUUAUUAGGGAAGAACAUAUGUGUAAGUAACUGGGCACAUCUUGACGGUACCUGAGCAGAGAGCCACGGCUAACUACGUG
rnacentral:rRNA from 1 species